rnacentral:rRNA from 1 species
AUUGAACGCUGGCGGCAUGCUCUACACAUGCAAGUCGAACGGCAGCGCGGUCUUCGGCCUGGCGGCUCGUGGCGAACGGGUGAGUAAUGCAUCGGAACGUGCCCCGUGUUGGGUGAUAGCCCCGCGAAAGCCGUAUUACUACCGCAUACUACCUGCUGCUGCAACCGGGUGACCGAAAGGCCUCGCGCUCUUGGAGCGGCCGAUGUCGGAUUAGCUAGUUGGUGGGGUAAAGGCUUACCAAGGCGACGAUCCGUAGCUGGUCUGAGAGGACGACCAGCCACACUGGGACUGAGACACGGACCAGACGCCUGAGGGAGGCAGCAGUGGGGAAUGUUGGACAAUGGGGGCAACACUGAUACAGCCAGGGCGCGUGCGAGAAGAAGGCCUUCGGGUUGUAAACAGCUUUUGUGCGGGAAGAAAUCCUCUGGGCUAAUACCCCGGGGGGAUGACGGUACCGGAAGAAUAAGCACCGGCUAACUACGUG